AGGACGGGCUGAGGGAUCGCCGCCGGGGAUCCGCCGGAUUCGCCGCGCGGAGGAAAGUCCGAGCUCCACAGGGCGGGAUGCCGGGUAACGCCCGGGCACCGCGAGGUGACGGAAAGUGCAGCAGAGAGCAGACCGCCGAUGGCCCCGGCAGCGGGGCACAGGCAAGGGUGAAAGGGUGUGGUAAGAGCACACCGGGCCGCUGGCAACAGGGGUCGCAUGGCAAACCCCAUCCGGAGCAAGGCCGAAUAGGGGACUCUGGGACGGCCCGUCCCGUUCGAGUCCCGGGUAGGCCGCUCGAGGCCCGGAGCGAUCCGGGUCCCAGACAGAUGAUCCCGCCCGCCUCCCGAGGCGGGACACAGAACUCGGCUUAUGACGCCCGUCCUCCUG
rnacentral:RNase_P_RNA from 2 species